GGUGCCUGUGAUGGCUUUUGCAGCUCUUGGGGCUGGUGACCAUAGAGUGCUCUGGCUUGUGAGGCUAGAGGGAGCCCUCGUGCAUUGGCAUGGGCUAUUGCUCUGCUUCCUGUGCAAUGCAUUCUGGUAUAAUUGAGGAUUUCCUCCCCCUUAUCCCUGCUGCUGAUUGUGCUGAGCUGAUCAUUUGGGUGUGCAAUUGGCAGAAGCAAAAGGAACCUCUGAUCAUCUGGUAGAAGCUAUCCCAUCCUAGUCCUGUGGUAGAAGAAAAGUCAAAGAAGAGUGUGUCCUGUGGAGAGGAGAAGUGAAGUUCAGACCAGAAGUCAACCAGUAAGCAGGUGCACCUGUAGGCCAAGCUAAAGAAGGACAACAGAAGAAGGCUGCUUUUCUGAGGGUAUAGUGGGGCUAGUGUGGAAUAGGGGCCAAAAUAUAGGAUCUGAGUAUUCGCUGAAAAAUCCACUUGAGAAGCUCACUGAAUAGCUUUGAGCAAGCAACUAUCUCACGACUUACCCUACUUCACAGGGUUGUUCUAAAGUAAAUAAAAUACUAUUCAGAGCAGCUUGGAAGAUGGAUAGGAAGGAUAUAAAUAAGUGUCCCAUUCUGCCCAGGAACCAACCAGCUGCUCACCAGACCUUUGUGAUCUUAACCAACUCUGGGCUGAACUAGAGUCUACUCCUAGUGACUUUGGCUCUUCCAUCAUAAAACUGUAAGCUGAGCUUCAAUUCAAGCACAUAUAAAAUGGAUUUUGUUGAAUCAU